UUUAUCUUGGUCCGGGUUAGGCCGGAUGAAGUCAACUAGCCAACAAAUCUGCCAUUGUUUCUGAGGGGAAGAGGAGGCGCAACAGCAGUUCUCUAACCGCUUAAUUACCUUCAGUUUUGGGAAAACGAAGGCUGGAUUUGAAUAGGGCAUUUGCAUAUCUACACAGCUUUGCUUCUCCCCACUUCCUCCCAAAACUCGCAGGAAACUCCUGCUGCUCUGUCCGAUAUCAGGAACCUUUUUUUCUUUUUGGUCUUUGGCUAGAAAAGGGAAGCCGCUGAGACUACCAAGUGGAAGAGUGUAGAUUUCACGUGCAACGUGGCUCGGCCUUCCCUGAGAGCGCUGGCCUUGCUGUAGAGAGAGAAUGAAUGGAUAUGGGGACAAGCACCUAGACUGCCUCCAACUCCCCACUGCCACUAAUGCUGCCAUGAGCAUCUUCACACGUGCCCCCUGGACCUAUGGGAGAAUCCCUAGGAAUCAGUAGCACGCUGCUCGUUAGAAAACCUCAGCUGCAAGGUUGCUUUUGGAAGCAGCAGGGCUGUCUGGUCUCCCUGCUCCACACCGUCUUGGUCCCCUUCCCAGCGAGGCCUGGAGGGACGUUUGCUUCGCCUCAAGGUUGGACAAAUUCAAAAUACUUGACUCUUCCCUGCGGUGUACACUUUUCGGAUUCAGGAGUAGCUGGAAAUAUUGGAAAUCUACAUCCCUUCAGAUUUUGCAAAACCCAACCUGUUAUGAGGAUUCUUGUGCAUUUGUCACGGAUGACAUCUGCCCGGAGAGGAAAGACCAAACCACAACUGCCGUGGAAUGAACUAUUUGAAACGGAUCUGUCUCAUCCCGAGGCACAUCACAGGAUGGAUCUCAGCAUUUAAAAGACUGUGUACACCUUACUCAGUAUUUAAAAUCUCUCACCUGUCUUCCUCCUGGGGCCUGGAAGCAAGUUUGUGACAGAAGGAGGCAUAUGCAUGAGGAACCUUUUCUAAUGUUCUCCGCAUUGUUGCUUCUCAGACUUUAAUGUGGGGACCAGUCGCCUGGGCCUCUUGUUAAAAUGCACAUUCUGAUCCUUCAGGCUCAGGUCGGAGCCCAGGAUUCUACAUUUUUAACAGUGCUAGGUGGUGCCUAUGAACCACACUGGUCAGGCCUCAUGUCCUCCCUGGCAGUGGGGGAGUGGGUAUGGAGUGGGCAUAGUGCAAAGUACUGGAAAGUUGUCCUGGCUGUCCUCAGUCCCACCAACGUUCUGCUCACUGUGGGACCCCUUCAAAAAUACAGCUGAUUCUUGAACAACGGGUGUGUGUGUGUGUGUGUGUGUAUGUGUGUUAGGGGUGAUGACCCCUCCACCCCAGCGUGCAGUGGAAAAUCCAUGUAUAACUUCUGACUCCCCCGAAACUUUACUAAUAGCCUACUGUUGGCCCGAAGCCUUCCUGAUAACAUAACCAGUCAGUUAACACAUACUUUGUAUAUGUAUUAUAUACUGUAUUCUUACAAUAUAAAGUAAGCUA